rnacentral:rRNA from 1 species
UACGGAGGGUGCAAGCGUUAUCCGGAUUCACUGGGUUUAAAGGGUGCGUAGGUGGGCAGGUAAGUCAGUGGUGAAAUCUCCGGGCUUAACCCGGAAACUGCCAUUGAUACUAUUAGUCUUGAAUACCGUGGAGGUCAGCGGAAUAUGUCAUGUAGCGGUGAAAUGCUUAGAUAUGACAUAGAACACCAAUUGCGAAGGCAGCUGGCUACACGAGCAUUGACACUCAGGCACGAAAGCGUGGGGAUCAAACAGG